AUUGAACGCUGGCGGCAGGCCUAACACAUGCAAGUCGAACGGUAACAGGAAACAGCUUGCUGUUUCGCUGACGAGUGGCGGACGGGUGAGUAAUGUCUGGGAAACUGCCUGAUGGAGGGGGAUAACUACUGGAAACGGUAGCUAAUACCGCAUAACGUCGCAAGACCAAAGAGGGGGACCUUCGGGCCUCUUGCCAUCGGAUGUGCCCAGAUGGGAUUAGCUAGUAGGUGGGGUAACGGCUCACCUAGGCGACGAUCCCUAGCUGGUCUGAGAGGAUGACCAGCCACACUGGAACUGAGACACGGUCCAGACUCCUACGGGAGGCAGCAGUGGGGAAUAUUGCACAAUGGGCGCAAGCCUGAUGCAGCCAUGCCGCGUGUAUGAAGAAGGCCUUCGGGUUGUAAAGUACUUUCAGCGGGGAGGAAGGGAGUAAAGUUAAUACCUUUGCUCAUUGACGUUACCCGCAGAAGAAGCACCGGCUAACUCCGUGCCAGCAGCCGCGGUAAUACGGAGGGUGCAAGCGUUAAUCGGAAUUACUGGGCGUAAAGCGCACGCAGGCGGUUUGUUAAGUCAGAUGUGAAAUCCCCGGGCUCAACCUGGGAACUGCAUCUGAUACUGGCAAGCUUGAGUCUCGUAGAGGGGGGUAGAAUUCCAGGUGUAGCGGUGAAAUGCGUAGAGAUCUGGAGGAAUACCGGUGGCGAAGGCGGGCCCCCUGGACGAAGACUGACGCUCAGGUGCGAAAGCGUGGGGAGCAAACAGG
rnacentral:rRNA from 1 species